AGCAGUUUUCAUCGCCGGUAGGACGGAGGCCGGUAAGUGCACCGAGAGUUGUGCACAGGUCCCCUUUGCCUUCUAGUUGCAGCUGGGUGGUUUUUCAGGGGGAAGGAAAUAUUUUUAGGGCUAGGAUUGUGGGUUUCAUGGAGGAGCUGAGGUGCCCCACGUCCAUCCAGCUCGGCGGUCAGGCCCCGCCCCAAUGAUUUGAAAUUUA